AGCGAACGCUGGCGGCAGGCCUAACACAUGCAAGUCGAACGAACUCUUCGGAGUUAGUGGCGGACGGGUGAGUAACACGUGGGAACGUGCCUUUAGGUUCGGAAUAACUCAGGGAAACUUGUGCUAAUACCGAAUGUGCCCUUCGGGGGAAAGAUUUAUCGCCUUUAGAGCGGCCCGCGUCUGAUUAGCUAGUUGGUGGGGUAAUGGCCCACCAAGGCUACGAUCAGUAGCUGGUCUGAGAGGAUGACCAGCCACAUUGGGACUGAGACACGGCCCAAACUCCUACGGGAGGCAGCAGUGGGGAAUCUUGCGCAAUGGGCGAAAGCCUGACGCAGCCAUGCCGCGUGGAUGAUGAAGGUCUUAGGAUUGUAAAAUCCUUUCACCGGUGAAGAUAAUGACUGUAGCCGGAGAAGAAGCCCCGGCUAACUUCGUGCCAGCAGCCGCCGUAACAC
rnacentral:rRNA from 1 species